UAAUGUAGACAGAAAAAGGGAAGCCCCGCUAGAACAGGACUUCCCAUGUAGAGCCGUUAAAGACGGUGGCAGAUUUUAACGAUAUUUAAUA
rnacentral:sRNA from 1 species